rnacentral:rRNA from 1 species
UACGUAGGGACCGAGCGUUGUCCGGAAUGAUUGGGCGUAAAGCGUCCGCAGGUGGCUGUGUAAGUCUGCUGUUAAAGAGUGAGGCUCAACCUCAUAAAAGCAGUGGAAACUACACGGCUAGAGUGCGUUCGGGGCAGAGGGAAUUCCUGGUGUAGCGGUGAAAUGCGUAGAUAUCAGGAAGAACACCGGUGGCGAAAGCGCUCUGCUAGGCCGCAACUGACACUGAGGGACGAAAGCUAGGGGAGCGAAUGGG